AAACAACGAUCGAUGAAUCAUUGAAAAGACCCAUUAAAGCAAAUCCUAUCUCCUCCAUGAAGAUAGUGGAGACAAAGGAGGAGAAUGAAGAAAAUAUGAGCCUCAUAAAAAGGUAAAGGGACAAUGAGGCUAGCAAAAGUGCUCAUUCUGAAGGGAAGGCCCCAAAUUUCUUGGGAUGUAGGUAUAACGAGAUCGUCGCUACAAUUUUAGAGAUGCUUUCCGUCGAAGUCCACGUGACAACAGAGGUCCACUAUAAAAUAUUGGACUGAUAAAUACUCAUCUUAUGCCGAUACCUGUGACUCGGUUGACAUGUUAGAGGUCGACCUCACCCUGUCGACUCGCUCACAAGGCUUCUUCUUAAAUUCCAAAAUGGACAUGAGUAGACUGCAAUGGUUAAACAAGGAGUUUUGCUAGAAGAUAGCUGAUGUGGAGGCUGGGGCCUCUACUACUAAUGAAGUCAUUGAGGCCAUCAGAGUGAGGUACACUAAGGUUGAGUCAAAGAUUGGGCUCAUCAUUGCUGAAAAUAAGGAAAUAUAGAAGGAAGUCCACUUUUAUAGACUUAAGGUAAACGCCAUGAAGAAGCGGGUUGAAAAUUUUGAUAACUUGCAGAAGAUAGCUUCGUCAGCCUUGAUGGUGGCCAAUAAAGAGAAGGUGGAGCUGAGGGCUCAAGUGGAUGAGCUGGCUACUGAAGUUGACAACUUGAAGCUGCAAUUGAACAGGGCAAGAAAGGUAGCUGUGAAUAACUACAUUGCUAAUUUCUGAGAAACAACUGAGUAUGACAGUAUACAAUGAAG
rnacentral:lncRNA from 1 species